rnacentral:tRNA from 1 species
UCCCUGGAAGUCCAGUGGUUAGGACUCAACACAUCCACUGCUGUGGCCUGGGUUCAAUUCCUGGUUGGGGAA